UGGGGAAUAUUGCACAAUGGGCGAAAGCCUGAUGCAGCGACGCCGCGUGAGGGAUGACGGCCUUCGGGUUGUAAACCUCUUUCAGCAGGGACGAAGCGCAAGUGACGGUACCUGCAGAAGAAGCACCGGCUAACUACGUGCCAGCAGCCGCGGUAAUACGUAGGGUGCAAGCGUUGUCCGGAAUUACUGGGCGUAAAGAGUUCGUAGGCGGUUUGUCGCGUCGUUUGUGAAAACCAGCAGCUCAACUGCUGGCUUGCAGGCGAUACGGGCAGACUUGAGCACUGCAGGGGAGACUGGAAUUCCUGGUGUAGCGGUGAAAUGCGCAGAUAUCAGGAGGAACACCGGUGGCGAAGGCGGGUCUCUGGGCAGUAACUGACGCUGAGGAACGAAAGCGUGGGUAGCGAACAGG
rnacentral:rRNA from 1 species